UCGUUAGCAGCUUCAUUAGUUCUGAGGGCUCUGUGGAAAGCCAUUAGUGUGGCUCGCUCUGUGCCAUCCAUCAGAGAGGAGGGUGGUAAUUGACAGCCAAGAGAGGAGAAAACAAGAAAAUGACCCAACUCCCGCCCUCCUGCCGCCUCCCAGGAAGAACAAGGCUGAGACAGCUCCAUAGAAACCGUCAGCCAGGGGCUCCCCCGGAUACACUGACCUGUGGCAGGAUGCAGGUGCACUGCCCCACCUCAGAGAUGUCCUGUGACCUAUUCUGAUGCUUCCUCCUGUGACCUCUGACCUUUGGUGCCACUCAUUUAUGACUCUCUGGGUCUAUCCUGUGCACCUCCCUCACCCUGCUCUGUCUCCGAGGUGUGGCUCUAAGGUCCCUAGGUCCUGCAGGCCAGUCCACAAACCAUCUCUGCCACUCCUCCGGGGGAUCAUCUUCCUGAGUUUCUGUGCCAGGUUUGGACUAUUCAUGAAAAGCUCUGAAAACCGGUGCACCUGAGACCACAGCCCGAGGAUAUCCAGGCACACACCGUCACCCCCAUUUAUCCAAUGCCGGAGUUUGAAAUCCAGACAAACACUCUCCCACCUGAGCUACAUCGACAGUCGAGGAUUAAUUAUAUUUCUAUGAGAUGUUUUUGGAGGUGCCUUGAAGGCCCAUGCAGAAUGGAGCUCAAAGAGGAGAAGCGACCAACCCAAGAUCCCACAACACAGAGAAGGCAAUACUAGCUCGGGCUAGUGUAACCCAGCCUUGCAAAGCCAGGCCACCAAGAGGAAACCAGAUGCCAGCACAUCCCGCAGCCUUUGUCAGUGUGGGUCCUCUGGUGGUCAGCACAGAAAUGGGUGGUCUGGCUGGCCCAGAGCCAGAUCUCCAAUGGACAAUAUUCCUGGAUGGUAAAGUAUGCACGGCUCUCACCUUUAUCUUUUAAUCACACCCAGAGUCCCCUGAGAGGAGCUUCCCCACCCCACUCCUCCUUUAAUUACUCCUGGCUGUAAUGAAUGCCUGAGCCCCUGAGACCCAAGCUUCAUCCUGAGCCUGUCUCCAGUCCUCCCCUCUCUUCUCCUUCCCUCCCUUCUCUCCCCUCCCCUCUC